GACGAACGCUGGCGGCGUGCCUAAUACAUGCAAGUCGAGCGCAGGAAACUGACGGAACUCUUCGGAGGGAAGGCAGUGGAAUGAGCGGCGGACGGGUGAGUAACACGUAAGGAACCUGCCUCAAGGAUUGGGAUAACUCCGAGAAAUCGGAGCUAAUACCGGAUAGUUCAUCGGACCGCAUGGUCCGUUGAUGAAAGGCGCUCCGGCGUCACCUUGAGAUGGCCUUGCGGUGCAUUAGCUAGUUGGUGGGGUAACGACCCACCAAGGCGACGUUGCAUAGCCGAGCUGAGAGGGUGAGCGGCCACACUGGGACUGAGACACGGCCCAGACUCCUACGGGAGGCAGCAGUAGGGAAUCUUCCACAAUGGAUGAAAGUCUGAUGGAGCAACGCCGCGUGAGUGAUGAAGGUUUUCGGAUCGUAAAACUCUGUUGUAAGGGAAGAACACGUACGAGAGGGAAUGCUCGUACCUUGACGGUACCUUACGAGAAAGCCACGGCUAACUACGUGCCAGCCGCCGCGGUAA
rnacentral:rRNA from 1 species